GACGUAGGGCGCAAGCGUUUGUCCGGAUUUAUUGGGCGUAAAGAGCUCGUAGGCGGUUUGUUGCGUCGGCUGUGAAAACCCGCGGCUUAACUGUGGGCUUGCAGCCGAUACGGGCGGGCUGGAGUUCGGUAGGGGAGACUGGAAUUCCUGGUGUAGCGGUGAAAUGCGCAGAUAUCAGGAGGAACACCGGUGGCGAAGGCGGGUCUCUGGGCCGAUACUGACGCUGAGGAGCGAAAGCGUGGGGAGCGAACAGG
rnacentral:rRNA from 1 species